AUUUCGGCCGUGCUUUGGAAAGCAGAGCUAGAUGGUAAACAAACAUGGCAGCACACCAGUAAGGAAAUGGCUCAUGACUGCAGAGAAGAUGUGCAGCAUACUAAGACCCUGUACCCCCCACCACAACAAGCCUGCUGGCGUCCUCACCUCAGGUCACCCAGGACCUUCUGUGAGCGGAGCUGAGCAGUGAUGUAGAGCGCUGCUGCCGAGGCCAACAGCUCCCUGCGUGUGUCUACAUUCAGCUGGUGACCCUUGAAGCCAUCGGGAUAAACCUCCGGCAGGAAGUUGGUGCUGAUAUCACCAGAGAUAAAGCGGGGGUGGGUGAUGAUUUCCCUCAGGAGGGGGAUGUUGUGCAUCACACCUGGAGAGUAGAUUACCAAACUUUACCACAGGAAGUAAAAUAAGCUGAUGUCCAUUUAAAAAGUGACUGUGCGUCUUGGCUGACAUUCACUUUGAAAAUCUGUGUACCUCUGAUAACAUAGUUAUCCAGCGCGUCCUCCAUUCUGGCAAGAGCCUCUGCUCGCGUAGCUCCAUAGGUAACCAACUACAAUUACACACCAGAGGAAAUGACCGCAGAGCCACAAACCCGUGUGGAAUUGUGAAAUUUUGUAAUCUACUUUUUUUUUUGUUGUGACCAUCUGUUCUUAUCAAUAAUGAGAACCACACAAAACCAUCAUAUAUUCAAUACAUCACUGACCUUAGAGAUCAUGGGAUCAUAGUAGAUGCUGAUGUCACUUCCCUCCUGAAUGCCGCUGUCCACACGGACCUGACAGAGCGAGGAGCAGAGAACAAAAUGAUCAUACUGGCAGGACACUUACCAGUCACUCAGGGAGACCAACUGGAAUGUGUAAAAAGAGAAUAUCUUAGAAAAACAAAUCAGGUGAAACAACAAACAACACAAAUGCUCUCCUCUGUUGCAGCUCAAAUGUGCGAUGUAGGUUGUGUUUGUUUGUUACAUAAACAUCCUGCCUGAUGAAGCUUUAAAGGAUAACUUAAGCAUUUUUCAACUUGGACUCUAUUUCCCCAUCUGAAUUGAUCAAAGACACUGAUGUGAACAACAAUUUUUGAAAUUUGGUCAGUAUUGAGCGUGCUGGCAGCUGCGGGAGCUGCAUUGGAGGCACAUGGGGCAAUAAAACAUUGUCACUGUAUGUCCAUUAAAAGUGGUUAUUUUUGAACCAGA